UGGAGAAGGGGAGCACGUGCAACUGCAAAGUGGUAUAUUACGUUUGCACGUGCCCUGCUUCUCCAAC
rfam:Beta vulgaris subsp. vulgaris chromosome 7, whole genome shotgun sequence.